CAAUAGCGUAUAUUAAAGUUGUUGCAGUUAAAAAGCUCGUAGUUGGAUUUCUGGUAGGAGUGACCGUUCCGAACUUGAUUGUUCGUGUAUUGUGUUUUCUCCAGCCAUCCUUGUGGAGAACUUUUCUUGCAUUAAUUUGUAGGGAUUGGGACCCGCAUCGUUUACUGUGAAAAAAUUAAAGUGUUUAAAGCAGGCAAUCGCUUGAAUACAUUAGCAUGGAAUAAUAAGAUAGGACUUUGGUACUAUUUUGUUGGUUUGCAUACCAAAUUAAUGAUCAACAGGAACAGUUUGAGGAUAUUCGUAUGAACAUGUCAGAGGUGAAAUUCUUGGAUUUUGAUCAGACGAACUACUGCGAAAGCAUUUAUCAAGGAUGUUUUCAUUAA
rnacentral:rRNA from 1 species